UACGGAGGGGGCUAGCGUUGUUCGGAAUUACUGGGCGUAAAGCGCACGUAGGCGGCUUGGUAAGUUAGUGGUGAAAGCCUGGAGCUCAACUCCAGAAUUGCCUUUAAGACUGCCGAGCUAGCAGGUGAGAGAGGUGAGUGGAAUUCCGAGUGUAGAGGUGAAAUUCGUAGAUAUUCGGAAGAACACCAGUGGCGAAGGCGGCUCACUGGCUCAUACUGGACGCUGAGGUGCGAAAGCGUGGGGAGCAAACAGG
rnacentral:rRNA from 1 species